GGCAAAGGUCGAACGGUGAACACGGAGCUUGCUCUGUGGGAUCAGUGGCGAACGGGUGAGUAACACGUGAGCAACCUGCCCCUGACUCUGGGAUAAGCGCUGGAAACGGCGUCUAAUACUGGAUAUGUGACGUGAUCGCAUGGUCUGCGUCUGGAAAGAAUUUCGGUUGGGGAUGGGCUCGCGGCCUAUCAGCUUGUUGGUGAGGUAAUGGCUCACCAAGGCGUCGACGGGUAGCCGGCCUGAGAGGGUGACCGGCCACACUGGGACUGAGACACGGCCCAGACUCCUACGGGAGGCAGCAGUGGGGAAUAUUGCACAAUGGGCGCAAGCCUGAUGCAGCAACGCCGCGUGAGGGAUGACGGCCUUCGGGUUGUAAACCUCUUUUAGCAGGGAAGAAGCGAAAGUGACGGUACCUGCAGAAAAAGCGCCGGCUAACUACGUGCCAGCAGCCGCGGUAAUACGUAGGGCGCAAGCGUUAUCCGGAAUUAUUGGGCGUAAAGAGCUCGUAGGCGGUUUGUCGCGUCUGCUGUGAAAUCCGGAGGCUCAACCUCCGGCCUGCAGUGGGUACGGGCAGACUAGAGUGCGGUAGGGGAGAUUGGAAUUCCUGGUGUAGCGGUGGAAUGCGCAGAUAUCAGGAGGAACACCGAUGGCGAAGGCAGAUCUCUGGGCCGUAACUGACGCUGAGGAGCGAAAGGGUGGGGAGCAAACAGGCUUAGAUACCCUGGUAGUCCACCCCGUAAACGUUGGGAACUAGUUGUGGGGUCCAUUCCACGGAUUCCGUGACGCAGCUAACGCAUUAAGUUCCCCGCCUGGGGAGUACGGCCGCAAGGCUAAAACUCAAAGGAAUUGACGGGGACCCGCACAAGCGGCGGAGCAUGCGGAUUAAUUCGAUGCAACGCGAAGAACCUUACCAAGGCUUGACAUAUACGAGAACGGGCCAGAAAUGGUCAACUCUUUGGACACUCGUAAACAGGUGGUGCAUGGUUGUCGUCAGCUCGUGU
rnacentral:rRNA from 1 species